rnacentral:rRNA from 1 species
UGGGGAAUAUUGGACAAUGGGCGAAAGCCUGAUCCAGCAAUGCCGCGUGAGUGAUGAAGGCCUUAGGGUUGUAAAGCUCUUUUACCAGGGAUGAUAAUGACAGUACCUGGAGAAUAAGCUCCGGCUAACUCCGUGCCAGCAGCCGCGGUAAUACGGAGGGAGCUAGCGUUGUUCGGAAUUACUGGGCGUAAAGCGCGCGUAGGCGGCUUUUCAAGUCAGGGGUGAAAUCCCGGGGCUCAACCCCGGAACUGCCCUUGAAACUGGAUGGCUAGAAUCCUGGAGAGGCGAGUGGAAUUCCGAGUGUAGAGGUGAAAUUCGUAGAUAUUCGGAAGAACACCAGUGGCGAAGGCGACUCGCUGGACAGGUAUUGACGCUGAGGUGCGAAAGCGUGGGGAGCAAACAGGAUUAGAUACCCCCGUAGUCC